rnacentral:rRNA from 1 species
AUUGAACGCUGGCGGAAUGCUUUACACAUGCAAGUCGAACGGUAGAGGGGGCAACCCCUCGAGAGUGGCGAACGGGUGAGUAAUAUAUCGGAACGUGCCCAGUCGUGGGGGAUAACGUAGCGAAAGUUACGCUAAUACCGCAUACGAUCUAAGGAUGAAAGCGGGGGAUCGCAAGACCUCGCGCGAUUGGAGCGGCCGAUAUCAGAUUAGAUAGUUGGUGGGGUAAAGGCUCACCAAGCCAACGAUCUGUAGCUGGUCUGAGAGGACGACCAGCCACACUGGAACUGGGACACGGUCCAGACUCCUACGGGAGGCAGCAGUGGGGAAUUUUGGACAAUGGACGCAAGUCUGAUCCAGCCAUUCCGCGUGCAGGAUGAAGGCCCUCGGGUUGUAAACUGCUUUUGUACGGAACGAAAAGGUCUCUCUUAAUACGGGGGACUCAUGACGGUACCGUAAGAAUAAGCACCGGCUAACUACGUGCCAGCCGCCGCCGUAA